rnacentral:rRNA from 1 species
GAUGAACGCUGGCGGCGUGCUUAACACAUGCAAGUCGAACGAAGCAUUUAGAACAGAUUACUUCGGUUUGAAGUUCUUUAUGACUGAGUGGCGGACGGGUGAGUAACGCGUGGGUAACCUGCCUUGUACUGGGGGAUAGCAGCUGGAAACGGCUGGUAAUACCGCAUAAGCGCACAAUGUUGCAUGACAUGGUGUGAAAAACUCCGGUGGUAUAAGAUGGACCCGCGUCUGAUUAGCUAGUUGGUGAGAUAACAGCCCACCAAAGCGACGAUCAGUAGCCGACCUGAGAGGGUGACCGGCCACAUUGGGACUGAGACACGGCCCAGACUCCUACGGGAGGCAGCAGUGGGGAAUAUUGCACAAUGGAGGAAACUCUGAUGCAGCGACGCCGCGUGAGUGAAGAAGUAAUUCGUUAUGUAAAGCUCUAUCAGCAGGGAAGAUAGUGACGGUACCUGACUAAGAAGCGCCGGCUAAAUACGUG